UGGCUCCGUUUCCUGGAGGGUGGGCUUAGCCUGACCCACCCUCCCUCAGACGAGCUUAGAGUAGAGAGGCCAGGCUUCCUUCCCUGUGGGAGAGGUGGUUAAGAGAGGAGCCUCACCUGGACUGUCCUCGCCUCACAUUU